rnacentral:lncRNA from 12 species
AUGGAUACUGCAGGAAUUGUUAGCAAAUCACUUGUGCUGUACACUUAUCUUCUGGACUCAGUGAGGAACUGUUACACUGGAGAAACGACUGUGAGUCUCAGGUGUUUUCCAGUGAGCAGUACCAGUGAACUAUUGAACUAUGAAUGGUUUCCACAAUAUGGCAGGUACAACACAAACAAGUUUGAUGUAUGUCCAUGGGUACGCUUCCAACCAAUAGGAGACGGCGGAAUAAAAGUUAUUUUAAAAAUGGCCGAUCUGGCCAGAUUUCACAAUUUAAAAAAAUACGCCAGGAGGACUAUUAAUUAAUUGUGACCAACCAGACAAGUGAAACCAAUAAAUAACAAUAAUAAUAAUAAUAAUAAAAAAUAAAAAAACAGAUUACCAAUUUUCGGUUAAAAAGACUGAGAAGAAUAAGGUAUAAGUAAGGACGCCCGGUCAGACAAAGACUCAGAUGCAGUGACUGUCGUCUUGGCCUGGUUAUAACUGGUCAGCAGGCUGGUUUAAGAGGAGUUUUGACCACUUCUUUACUGGUCAGGCUGGGAGACCAGCUGGAACAACCAGCUAAAACCAGCUUGACCAGCCUUGCCAGGCUGGGAGACCAGCUAAAACCAGUUAAUUCCAGCUUAAACCAGCUAAGACCAGCCAACCAGCUUAAGAUGGUAUUAACCGGGUUUUUUUUUGUUGUUGAUGUUUUUUAUUUUUCAUCAGGGGAGUCACAUUAGAUACUGAAGGCAAAGAUCUACAUUACAUUUUCCAAGCCAUUUACUGUAGGGUCAUGUUGCUAUAUUAAUUAAAUUAAUUGUAUUUUUCAGCUGCAUUCUCUUAGUAGAGAAGAAGAUCUGAUCCCACUGGACAGUAGAUUUUUCCCCCUACAAGAAAGAUUUAUUUAUUUAUUUGUGAGAAACAUUUAUCAGCUUUAAUUCAGAUUCUUGUGUUGUUGUUCAACCAUGACUUUUGCAUAACCGGUUAGUGAUAAUGACUAAUUAUCUCUCCUCUCCAGACUGCACCUCCCUGCCGUGAGCCACACCAGAUACUCUGAUACUCUCUUUUACAUAGAAAUAGAUAAAUAAAUGUUAAAUAUUUGACAGUAAUUAUGUAGUUAUUGGAAGAAAGUUGGGAUUUGAUUCCCAAAAAGACAAGGUUGUUUUAACAACCCGCUACAAAGUAUGUUAGAUUGAACGAUAUGAUUUAAGUUAAAGAUAUGGUGUGAACAAAUUCAAUUAUUUUUUAUGAUACACACUUAAGUAUAUAUCGUAUGAUAAAACUUUGAAAUCUCUCAGUGACUUUGUAAACAACUUGCACAUGCUCUGCCUCUCGAUAGAUAAAAACCGAACUGUUGAUUGACAACAUGUGCAGCGAAUGAAAAGUUCUUCGUUUGGAAGUGAGCCAAUGAAAUGUGUGGGGGCGGGGCUAAGCAGUAACCUCGGAGUACUCUGUGCAUUUCUUCGAUGAUCUGCGAUAGAAUAUCUUCAGUCUCGAGCGACAAAAGCAGACGGCGGUAAGCGAGAGAUAUUUACAAGUUUUCUGUUUGAAAUUUGUAUUGGUUACUGUAACAUUAACUUAGUGCACUUCUGUUAAAACUGUUAUAUUAAGAAGAGAAGGGAGGAUUACAAUGGGUGAUUCUGUCGCUACAUUGUACCUUGCUGUAUUAUGGUACACAGGACUUCUUCAGUGUCACAGUGUCAGUGUAAUACUAAAUUAUGUAUAGGUAUAGAGUUAGCUAUUUAUAACUAUGGAACUAUACAUCAUAAUAUUGUUGUCUCUAUACAAAUACGGUAAUUUGAAUAAAUUUGUCGCAGUCAGGAAACGUGUUAUAUAUUUCACAACUCUAGUGUUCUGAAAUGAAGUAUAACUGUUAUGCCCUUAGAUGAAAUAAGUCAUUUUUUUUUCAUAUGAUGCUGGAUAAGAUUUUAUUCUUUAUUAUAUUUAUCUUUCUGUGCUGCCAUUUUGGCCAGGACUCCUUUGGUAGAAGAGAUUUAUAAUAUUAAUAAAAGAAAAUUAAUGAAGUCCUCCAUUCACCUAUACCCCUAAUCCCGAUAUAGGCUACUUCAUUAUUAAACACUUGUUAUCUACAUUAUUUCCACUUUUAGAAUAUUUUUUAGAUUGAAAGUAAAUGUCUUUCUGAUUUGAUAUGUGAUGGGAAAAAGGAGAAGAGCGAGUCAAAAUGCGGACUUGAACUUGUGUCGAUCGCGUCAAAAUGCUACUUUUAUGUGCCUUACUGUUACCUGGAGCGUGUCAUUUUUAAUUUUGUGUGGCCUAACCAGAUAUUUGUGACCGUAAUUAGUGUGAAUAGCCUGUAUGUCAAAAAGGUUGGUUAUUUAUGCUUAAAGGCAUAUGUAAGUUUUCGCCGCUAGAGGGCGCAUAUUCAAAAAAAAAAAAGGCGUAGUUUGAUGACACCGUGACUGGAGUUGUCACUUAUUUCUCUGGAUUUAAACAUUCUUUGAAAAAUUUGGGAUAAUGUAAGUACACAAGUCAGCAAAAUAUACAACACUGUUCUACUGGUAUUUAGAUAUUUGAAUAAAAAAAAUCUUGCAUAUUGUGCCUUUAAUGUAAACACUAUUGCACCGUGAAAUGGGGUGAUUUAUAAUGUAUUGUACCGUAGAAACUUCAAGCGUUUGUGGAAAUAUAUUGGAUAUCAAAACUGAGUUUUUGUUAGAUCAGACCCUGCAUUAAAUCCCUCGGCUCAUUCAACUGUUACAGCUUAAAAAGAAGAAGCGCCGUAUUUAUUAACUCUUUCCCCACCAGCGUUUUUGAAAAACGUUGCCAGCCACCGCCAGCGAUUUUGAUGGUUUUCACUAAAAUUCGAUGGCCUACAGUAUAUUUUGCUGUGUGAAUAUUUGAAUAUGCAAUACACCAAAAUACAGAUCAAAGCCUCUACUUUUAAACAGUGUUUUAAAAAUCUGUUUUAUUCUAGCUUAAAGCAUUCUUUUUUUAUCAAUACUUGAAUAUAGGUAGGUUUCAUUAAAAUGUAUAAUUUUGAGCACAAAGGUGAGAAAAUCAAAUUUUUUAUCAAAAACUACAUCUGGAUUAUAUUCAGUACGAUUAUCAAACCAUAAAUCCAGUAAAUCGCUUCCAUCAACACCUCCAAAGUUUGCACAGCCAUAUACCACUUCCCGGAUCAUCAUUUUACUCCAUAACAUUAUGUAGUUUUCAUUUAUAUGUUGUCUAUUGCAGAUGAUCGCAUUAUUUAUCAUAUGCAUCUGUUUACAUAAGAGAUCGCUAGUUUUUCCGUCCUGUUCACGUGUGUUUUUGUUCGGGAGGUUUUGUACUCGUUCAGCAGAUGUGUACUAGCGCCCCCGAGUGUAUAACAGUGAAAACACGGAAAGCCGUAAAAAAUCGUCAAUGGCGGGGAAGCGUUGUCUUCUAAAUGACGAGAUAACUCGUCAGUGGCGGGGAAAGAGUUAAAGAGGAGCUCACGUGUUAAAAAGUAGCAAAUAUAUAUGUUUGUGAGCAUACGACCAUUUUCGUUGUGUGUUGUGCGAUUUAAUUGUGUUGUGCACUACUGAGUCACCGUAUAUUUAAAUAUUUGUUUACACUUUAUUUUAAGGUGUCCUUCCAGUGCAAUUAUACAUUUAAGUACUGAGUAAUAUUAAUUAGCACAAACUAUGGGUUAAUUUAAUGUAAUUAUGCAUAAUUUUCCUUUUAUUACUGUAGUAAGUACAUGUAAAGUGAAACAAGGACACUGUAAAAUAGUGUUAACGAAUAUUUAUGUGAAAUGGUAUUCCAGGGUACUUCAAAAAAUCCCUUGGCAUAUGAUACUAUGACAAAAAUGAAGUAUACUUGUAAUUAGAUUGAAUUACAUUUUAAAAUACUCAUAAUCAGAUUACAGUUAUGUUUUUGUUGAUUAUAUAUUAUUCACACAAUAGCAAUAAAUUAUUGAUAAUUUAUUAAUUCUCCCUUAUUCCUCUUUUUCAUCUAUUAAAAUUUUUACUAAAAACUUUCUAAAAUAGCCUAUAUUCAUUCAGAAAGUCUUCCAGUUUUGUGGACAUUCACACAGAGAUCAGUCACUAGUCAGGUGGCUACACAGCACUUGACCGCUGGAUUUACAAAAAACAAGUGAGAAAAAUUGAGAAGUGAAAGUGACGUGACAUGUGGCCAAGUAUGGUGACCCAUACUCAGAAUUCGUGCUUUGCAUUUAACCCAUCCAAAGUGCACACACACAGCAGUGAACACACACACACACACAUUGUGAACACACACCCGGAGCAGUGGGCAGCCAUGCAGCGGCGCCCGGGGAGCAGUUGGGGGUUCGGUUCCUUGCUUAAGGGCACCUCAGUCGUGGUAUUGCCGGCCCGAGACUCGAACCCACAACCUUAGGGCUAGGAGUCAAACUCUCUAACCAUAGGCCACGACUUCCCCAUUGCAACUACUGAACACAUUAAUUUUUAUUUAAAUUAUCACUUAUUUAACCAUGUAUUAUAGCUUUGGAAGGCUAUAAUAUGAAACACAUUAAUAUGCACACAUUUACGUUAUUUCUUAUUUACAUGUAAUGCAGGCAUUCCCAAACUUUUUUGUCAUCUGAACCUAUUUUACCUAAUAUAUUUACUUGAAGUACCCCUGAGAUUUUAAUAUUUGUAAGUAUUUUAAUAAUGAUCACAUUUACGUGUUCAUCGUUCUCUGACGUUAGUUAAUGUUCACAUGACAUGCAGGUAAACAAAUAAAAUAUUACAUUUUUCUUUAGUAAGUGUUUUAUUUUGAUUCAUGUUAUUUUAAAAGGACUUUUUAAUUGUACUUUUUUAUGAUUCAAUUAAUUAUUAGCUUUUCAUUAAACUCACAAACCCCCUGAAGUUCCUUUACGAACAAAUUUAUUUUCUUUUUAUAUCAAUAUGGUACAAGAUUAUCCUAUUUAAACCAAUGUGAUAAAGUUAAGUCAAAAGUAAUCUAAAAGUAAUCAAAAUGUAUUACCUGAUUAUAUUACCUAAAAUGUGUAAUUUAAUGGAUUACGUUACUAACAACAAUUUUUAUCAUGUAAUUUGGAAUCAGUAAUGGACUACAAUUUGAAAGUGACAGUGUCUGACAGUGAUAGGAGUAAAUUUCUUUCAAAUGAAAUACACUUACGACAGUUUU